AAUAACUGCAUGCGUUUAGUAUGCCGGGGCUACUACACCACCCAUCCUUGAGUACUAGUACUAUUGGGGGUGGGGGCACAGGAGCUAACUAACCAGGAUGACAGCCAAGCUUCCACCUUAUAUAGGGGUGUGAAUUCUGAUAUAGCAUUACGGAAGGUCAUCCCCGACUCAGAGGUCGGCUAAAAUUACACUCUUGUGCACGACCAUCUCAAAUAUGGCGGACGUGGGGAGGCCAAAGGCUAUGAUAACUGCGCCAUGUAUCAGGACUGCUUGAAAUACUGGAUACUACCAAUGGAGUAGAAGAGCAGAAACAACUGCCAGCAAAAGUUGACCGCAACAACAACUAUGGAAGUUGAUGAUCUACUUGACACAGAAAUAUUGCUUUUCCUCAUAUUCAUUCUGUUGUAUGUUGCCAUUCUCUUAUUCAUCAAAUGGAGAAAAUUGAAGAACGAGAAUCUAAAACUUAGACAAGUCAAUGCCGAACUCGCAUGCUAUACUCAAGAGCGCCCUCUAGUCAUUUCGCCAGAUAAAUGCACCCACUGUGGCAGGGUGACACCACAUACAAUAUGGAUGAAGUUGGAAGUGCAGGACUUGAAGAAAUUGAACAACCUUCUUCGCACCUGCGUGGAGGCAAGAGAACCCAAGACAUGUCAUCUCCUAAACGAAAUCACUUCACUUCAAGUCGUCAACCGUUCGUUGAAUACGAGUGCAAACGAGCUGUUGAACAACGAAGACGACUUGAGGACAGAAAACAUGCAGCUUUGGGCAGAGGUGCUGCAACUUGAAACCACGCUGGAGGAAAAAGAGCUCAGCAUUCGCAAAUUGCGGAUUGCAGUCCGAGAGCAGAGAGAGCUAGCAUCCGAUUUGGAACACAGCUUGAUGGUAGCACUCGAUGAGCUUCAGCAUCAGAAAAAGCAGCGUCACAAAGACACCAAGCGAAAGAAUUCACCUAAAAUUCGCAAAGACCGAAAAGAGCCACCCUCUAUGGUAGAGCAUACAAAUAAAGAGGAGAAAGUGAAGAUGGAGCAGUGUUUAGAGGAUGAGAAAGAUAGAUUACGAUGUGCUGUAUGUCACGACGAAGACAGGAGAAUCUUACUUCUUCCCUGUAAACAUUUUGUUCUGUGUGGGAAGUGUUGGGGAGGCGUGAGCCGCCGUGUCAGGCGAACCUGUCCCAUCUGUAACUCCACCGUUACUGACGCCAUGACCAUCUUUCUGUCAUAGAACUUGGAUAGGGGCUGAUCCCGGGCAGCUUUAUACGUCGUCAUGCUAAACUAUUAAGAGGCUUAAAGUAAAUUCACAGCAAUACAUAUACGGCAUUUGCUCCGGAGUCUCAUAUGAAUUGUGUACUACAUUAAAGGUGAAUUAAAAGCACGGUGACGAGGA